rfam:Triticum aestivum genome assembly, contig: Triticum_aestivum_CS42_TGACv1_scaffold_225412_3B
UUUGUACUCCCUCCGUCCGGAAUUACUUGUCAUCAAAAUGGAUGAAAAUAGAUGUAUCUAAAACUAAAAUACAUCUAGAUACAUCCAUUUCAACUACAAGUAUUUCCGGACGGAGGGAGUAUGUC